GCAAUACGGAGCGGCAGACGGGAGAGUAACACGUGGGAACGUGCCCUUCAGUUCGGAACAACCCAGGGAAACUUGGGCUAAUACCGGAUACGUCCGAAAGGAGAAAGAUUUAUCGCUGAAGGAUCGGCCCGCGUCUGAUUAGCUAGUUGGUGAGGUAACGGCUCACCAAGGCGACGAUCAGUAGCUGGUCUGAGAGGAUGAUCAGCCUCACUGGGACUGAGACACGGCCCAGACUCCUACGGGAGGCAGCAGUGGGGAAUAUUGGACAAUGGGCGCAAGCCUGAUCCAGCCAUGCCGCGUGGAUGAUGAAGGCCCUAGGG
rnacentral:rRNA from 1 species